rnacentral:rRNA from 1 species
UACCAGACUCCUACGGGAGGCAGCAGUGGGGAAUAUUGGGCAAUGGGCGAAAGCCUGACCCAGCAACGCCGCGUGAAGGAAGAAGACUUUCGGGUUGUAAACUUCUUUUGACAGGGAAGAGCAGAAGACGGUACCUGUCGAAUAAGCCACGGCUAACUACGUGCCAGCAGCCGCGGGAAUACGUAGGGGGCAAGCGUUAUCCGGAUUUACUGGAUGUAAAGGGAGCGUAGACGGUUAUGUAAGUCUGGAGUGAAAGCCCGGGGCCCAACCCCGGGACUGCUUUGGAAACUGUGUAACUGGAGUACAGGAGGGGCAGGCGGAAUUCCUGGUGUAGCGGUGAAAUGCGUAGAUAUCAGGAGGAACACCGGCGGCGAAGGCGGCCUGCUGGACUGAAACUGACGUUGGGGCUCGAAAGCGUGGGGAGCAAACAGGAUUAGAUACCCGUGUAAC